UCCUAGCUUGCUAGGAGGCGUCGAGCGGCGGACGGGUGAGUAAUGCAUAGGAAUCUACCCGGUAGUGGGGGAUAACCUGGGGAAACCCAGGCUAAUACCGCAUACGUCCUACGGGAGAAAGCAGGGGAUCUUCGGACCUUGCGCUAUCGGAUGAGCCUAUGUCGGAUUAGCUAGUUGGUGAGGUAACGGCUCACCAAGGCUGCGAUCCGUAGCUGGUCUGAGAGGAUGAUCAGCCACAUCGGGACUGAGACACGGCCCGAACUCCUACGGGAGGCAGCAGUGGGGAAUAUUGGACAAUGGGCGAAAGCCUGAUCCAGCCAUGCCGCGUGUGUGAAGAAGGCCUUCGGGUUGUAAAGCACUUUCAGUGAGGAAGAAAGCCUUGAGGCUAAUACCCUCGAGGGAGGACAUCACUCACAGAAGAAGCACCGGCUAACUCCGUGCCAGCAGCCGCGGUAAUACGGAGGGUGCGAGCGUUAAUCGGAAUUACUGGGCGUAAAGCGCGCGUAGGCGGCUUGAUAAGCCGGUUGUGAAAGCCCCGGGCUCAACCUGGGAACGGCAUCCGGAACUGUCAGGCUAGAGUGCAGGAGAGGAAGGUAGAAUUCCCGGUGU
rnacentral:rRNA from 1 species